rnacentral:rRNA from 1 species
ACCCGAUGCAAACUACGAAUACCGAAGAAUGUUAUCACGGGAGACACACGGCGGGUGCUAACGUCCGUCGUGAAGAGUGAA